GGAUUUUGGCUCAGUGGUAGAGUGCUUGCCUAGCAUGUGUGAGGCACUGGGUUCAAUUCUCAGCACCA
rnacentral:tRNA from 1 species